CCAUGACAAGGGAUGUGGGCCAGGACCAGGAGGUGCCUGAGACCGUACAAGGAUUCCAAGACCUCUUUGGAGAAGCUCAAGAUCUGGCUACAGCAGCCAAACAGGUUGGGGGUGGACGUAGGAGACAAAGGAGCACGCAAGAGGGCCCGACUGCACCAAGGCCCAGUGUGGAAAUGCUGGCACAUCACUGAAUGGGACAGCAAAGGCAUCAGGAAUCACAAAUGAUUGAACACUUGACCAUCUCACCGGAAGGAAAUUGAAAUGACUCACAGAGGGUCAUGUAAAGGGACUCUGAUACAAUGUUUAGAUUCAAGGAGGAAAAAGCUGGUCAUUUUUUGGAAAGACAAAACCAAUUUAGGCAAGAGGACAGAAAACCAAUGAUGGAAUGUAUAUGGCAUGAUAGUGAAGUGACGCUGCCGGAUCAAGAGGUCCAUAGAAAAUUUCAAAGAGAAUACAUGGAGAAGCAAAGGCAGCUAGCACUAUUCUCCCAGCACCUGUUUGCAUUGUACAACCACCUCAGCAUGAUGCUAUGGUACAGAACUGCAGCCCAUACUGGACUGGCUCAUCCCUGUCUGCUCCCUCUGCUGUGGUCUCCUGGCACUCUGGUGGUGAACAGGACAAAGAACUGGAGUAUGCCGGACAUACAUUUUGUGGCCCUAUAGCCCUGUAAACCAAAUUUUUGUGUGCUUGGGUUAUUUUUCUCUGGUUACUUAUUGGAACUGGCCUGAAUGUUUGUGGUUUUAAAUAAAGUAAACUUGCAUAAUUUAUUUCAGUGUUCAGAAUCCAUAAAAUAUACUUUUAAUUUACCUUCAUUACAUCACAACUUCAUUAUGCCAUAAUAUUCUUUACCCAGACUCAAACUGAUAUGUGCAUACAUAAAAUGAAACCCACCAUCAACAAAGGAAACAAAGAUAUUUAAGGGUAGCACAUGUUAACCCUUCAGGCUUGAACAGGCAGAAUGAACAUUAUCACCACACCCUCUUUCCACUACCCUGGCAAAAUGUGUACAAAGCAUCUCUGAUUCAUUUGGUUCACGUGCCUAGUACCGCCAACAUUAACAAGUGUUAGAUUCCGGUAGUGCUGCUUGUCUGCCUGUACAUAAAUUGUUGCAAGUUCCUCAUUCCACAGACUCUUAAACACUUCACUGUUGCUUUCACAAAUGUUGUGCAGAAUGCAACAGGCAGAUACGAUGUCCACUGUUGCCGAUUGCACUAUUGCUGCACGUCAGCAAGCACCUCCACCUUGUUUAAAGCCUUCUAAAUGCACUCUCCACUACCACAGUCUCUGUCAAAUCAGCUAUUUAAUCACCAUUUCUCUGGGCUUUAAGUAUGGCUUCAUGGCCAAGGGGAGCAGUGGAUUUGCAGGUUCACAGAAUCACUGAAAGCCUAGAAAAGAGGAUGGUCCCCUUUCUCCUACCUCUAUCUGCUCUUCAGGAGUUCAAAGUUUUAAUAUUUUCUUGUAUCAUGCACUAAGCUUAUCCUAACUUCUGCAUGAGACCUGCAUGGAAAUGACUUUUCUGUCCCACAAAAUUUUUUGAGACUUCAAAAAUGUUCCUAUUGUGCAUCAGAAUAUACCUGAAAUUUGAAAAUUGCUUCCCUUGGAUAGGAAAGAGAAAGUGACUAUCGACUGGUGGUUAGGGCAUUUUUGGUAUACACAGGCAAUGUAGGGACACCACAUAUUGCCUCUCCUGCAAUACUUGGUGAGUUUUAUUUUCGGAGCUCCAGCAGAAAAAUUUCUGCUGAGCGAAGAAUGAGCUCUGACAUUUCAGCCUGACUUCCAUUUUAAGUUCAUGCCUUGGUUAUUGCUGAGCUUCCCAAAGAGUGAUGGGAUUUUGACCUCUUCUUCCACAAUUCUCUUGGAGUCCCAGAAUGCAUUUCCAAAUGUCCUGCAAGCCAGUGCUUCAGGACUUUGUGCCAGAAGGUGUGAGAUAGGCAUUCAGAGGGCAGUACAACUGAAACCCUUGAGGAGGGUGCUGUACAAGGAUCUGGGGUAGACCUAACAGGACUGCCCGGGGGUAGGGGUAGGGGGCAAGUGGGGCAAUUUGCCCCGGGCCCCGCAGGGGCCCCCAGGAGAAUAUAGUAUUGCAACUUUUUUUAUGGAAGGGGCCCCCUGAAUCCUCUGGGCGGCCCUGAGACCUAAACCCAAAACAGAAUGGCUAACAUGGACACUCUACACCAGUGGUUCUCAACCAGGGGUCUGGAACCCCCCUAGGGGGCCUCAAGCAGAUUUCAGGGGGUCCACCAAGCAGGGCCAGUGUUAGACUCACUGGUGCCCAGGACAGAGAGCGGAAGCCCUGCUGCAUGGGGCUGAAGCCAAAGCCUGAGCAACUUGCUUCAUGAGGGAUCCUGUGGCAUGGGGCUCCAGGCAAUUGCACUGCUUGCUACCCUCUAAUGCUGACCCUGGCUUUUAUAAACAGAAAACCAGUUUUUGUGGCACAGGUGGGCAGUGGAGUUUUUAUAGCAUGUUGGGGAGGGUGGGGGGCUCAAAAAGAAAAAAGUUGAGAACCCCUGCUCUACACUAUGAACUCCCAACAACCCCAUUCUGUAGUAUAGAUGCAACCAUGGCCUGUGUGUGCAUGCACAGCAGACCUAUAAAAUUAAAUUAAUGUCUCCUUUCAGGGCAGUGGUUGUUUAAAAAGGCUUUCAACUGCACUUGGAAAGGUAGAGUGGGAAACAGAGAAACCUGGAAAACCGUAGUCAGAGCUCCAAGAGUUAGAAUUAUUCAAACAAGUGGCUUUCUCCCCUCUCUACUAGUGCUCUAGAGUGACUCACUACUUUUGCUACUCCUUUUAUCCUUCUUCCUUGACCAAGGACCAGGCUUUUUCGGGGCUAAUUCUAAAUCAAGAUAGGUUCAGAGUCAUGUCCCCAUCUCAUGGGCAACAUAAGAGUCCUAGUUUAACAACAUAGAGAGUCCUAGCAUAUCCUUUUCAGUGUGGGGCAAAAAAGUCUGACAGGUCUCAAGGCAUGCUGUGUAGCUAGAAGACUAAAUUUCAUAAUAUAUUAUCUGAGUGACUGUUUUCAUCCAUUAGACUCAGCUUUUACCACUUUCACUAAAGUCAUGCAUUCCAGUCACAAAGCCUAGCAAACUAGUAAGAGACUGAGUAGAGAUUCUAAUCUGGGCAAGAGAGAAUACCCAGUCACAGCAAACUCCAUCACAUCCCAGCUGGUGGCCAAUGGCAAGACUUCUAAUUGAGGCAGAGCCUUCAGCUGUGCAGUUAAAAUGGUGAUUGGAAGGCUCUGAAUGUGGACAUGAACCUGAUGGCUCCUUUUACCAAUCAAGAGCUUGACCUAGCUAUAGCUCAACUGCAUCCUGACAAGGCUCCUGGUCUAGAUUACAUCCAAAUGUUUCUUUCUCACUUUGGGCCAAUUUCCAAAAGCUGGCUAUUUUGACUUUUGAAUCAUUGGACCCAGCUGCAGAGCAAAAGCUGUAGCUGUACCCAAGCCAGGGGAGCCAUUGACAGACCCAGAGAGCUGCUGACUGAAUUCUCUGCUGUGUGUUAUUUACAAGCUGUUGGAGAGACUAAUCCUGAUGUGAAUUAGUGAGGUAGUCGAGGUACCCUCAACUGCCUCACAUUCAGAAUGGAGUCAAGAUGCACCCAAGAGCAGAUAUUCUGAGACACAGAAAACACAUUUGAGUCAGGAAAGAAAGUUGGCAUAGUCCUUAUGAAUCUGACAGCAGGCUACAACACCAUGUGGCACACUGGGCCGACUGCCAAGCUACUGUGAAUUAUUCCUUGUAGGCCGAUGGUGCAGUUCAUUCAAGAAAUGAUCAAUAACCAAAGCUUCAUCCUGCAAGUUGGGGAGAAAAUCAUUCACCCUACAUGUCAACACAAUGGCCUCCUAAAGAGGGUCAGUAUUGGCUUCUCUUUUGUUCACUGUAUACGCAUAUGACCUUCCUGAAACACAGGCCAAGAAGUACGUGUAUGCUGACUACAUCUGUAUUGCAGGCCCCAGAAAUGACUUCCACGGGGUUGAAGAGAAGCUCAGCCAACACAUGGCUAUUUUGACCACGUAUUCCAGUAGGGGAGAUGAAUUCUCAAUGAAACCAGGGCAACGGCAACCACUUUCCAUUUAAACAGUUGUCUUGCCAAUCAGUUCUUCUCAAUCUGUGUCCCAGGAUGGCUUCUGAAAUUCUAGCUAGUUAUCAAUACUUGGGAGUAAAACUCAACCGUAGCUGGACAUACUGGCCGCACCUGAGACUCCUGAAAAUGAAGAUCUCUUCCCAUACUGCCUUGAUACGAAAACUGUCGGGAGCCUCCUGGGGAGAAGACUCUUUGGUCCCUGCUGUUUGGUGUAGCUGAAUAGUGCUCCAUGUUCUGGGGGAGCAGUUGCCACAUUCAGCUUGUUGACAUGAAGAAUUUGUCAUUCAUA